rnacentral:rRNA from 1 species
GACGAACGCUGGCGGCGUGCUUAACACAUGCAAGUCGAACGAUGAAGCCGGAGCUUGCUCUGGUGAAUUAGUGGCGAACGGGUGAGUAACACGUGAGUAACCUGCCCUUGACUCUGGGAUAACUGCUAGAAAUGGUAGCUAAUACCGGAUACGACCCUCGGAGGCAUCUCCAGGGGGUGGAAAGAAUUUCGGUCAAGGAUGGACUCGCGGCCUAUCAGCUAGUUGGUGAGGUAAUGGCUCACCAAGGCGACGACGGGUAGCCGGCCUGAGAGGGUGACCGGCCACACUGGGACUGAGACACGGCCCAGACUCCUACGGGAGGCAGCAGUGGGGAAUAUUGCACAAUGGGCGCAAGCCUGAUGCAGCAACGCCGCGCGAGGGAUGACGGCCUUCGGGUUGUAAACCUCUUUCAGUAGGGAAGAAGCGAAAGUGACGGUACCUGCAGAAAAAGCACCGGCUAACUACGUGCCAGCAGCCGCCGUAA